UACGUAGGUCCCGAGCGUUGUCCGGAUUUAUUGGGCGUAAAGCGAGCGCAGGUGGUUUAUUAAGUCUGGUGUAAAAGGCAGUGGCUCAACCAUUGUAUGCAUUGGAAACUGGUAGACUUGAGUGCAGGAGAGGAGAGUGGAAUUCCAUGUGUAGCGGUGAAAUGCGUAGAUAUAUGGAGGAACACCGGUGGCGAAAGCAGCUCUCUGGCCUGUAGCUGACACUGAGGCUCGAAAGCGUGGGUAGCAAACAGG
rnacentral:rRNA from 1 species